rnacentral:rRNA from 1 species
CUACGGGAGGCAGCAGUGGGGAAUAUUGGACAAUGGGCGAAAGCCUGAUCCAGCAAUGCCGCGUGAGUGAAAAAGGCCUUAGGGUUGUAAAGCUCUUUCACCCGUGAAGAUGAUGACGGUAGCGGGAGAAGAAGCCCCGGCUAAUUCCGUGCCAGCAGCCGCGGUAAUACGGAAGGGGCUAGCGUUGUUCGGAUUUACUGGGCGUAAAGCGCGCGUAGGCGGCGGACCAAGUUAGGCGUGAAAGCCCUGGGCUCAACCCGGGAACUGCGCUUAAGACUGGUUUGCUUGAGUCCGGGAGAGGGUGGUGGAACUCCCAGUGUAGAGGUGAAAAUUCGUAGAUAUUGGGAAGAACGCCGGUGGCGAAGGCGGCCACCUGGACCGGUACUGACGCUGAGGUGCGAAAGCGUGGGGAGCAAACAGGAUUAGAUACCCUAGUAGUCC